rnacentral:rRNA from 1 species
AGCGAACGCUGGCGGCAGGCCUAACACAUGCAAGUCGAGUGGCAGCGCGGGGGCAACCCUGGCGGCGAGCGGCGGACGGGUGAGGAAUACAUCGGAAUCUACCCAGUCGUGGGGGAUAACGUAGGGAAACUUACGCUAAUACCGCAUACGACCUGAGGGUGAAAGCAGGGGACCGCAAGGCCUUGCGCGAUUGGAUGAGCCGAUGUCCGAUUAGCUAGUUGGUGAGGUAAAGGCUCACCAAGGCGACGAUCGGUAGCUGGUCUGAGCGGAUGAUCAGCCACACUGGAACUGAGACACGGUCCAGACUCCUACGGGAGGCAGCAGUGGGGAAUAUUGGACAAUGGGCGCAAGCCUGAUCCAGCCAUGCCGCGUGUGUGAAGAAGGCCUUCGGGUUGUAAAGCACUUUUGUCCGGAAAGAAAUCCUGUCGGUUAAUACCUGGCGGGGAUGACGGUACCGGAAGAAUAAGCACCGGCUAACUUCGUGCCAGCAGCCGCGGUAAUACGAAGGGUGCAAGCGUUACUCGGAAUUACUGGGCGUAAAGCGUGCGUAGGCGGUUCGUUAAGUCAGAUGUGCAAGCCCCGGGCUCAACCUGGGAAUUGCAUUUGAUACUGGCGGGCUAGAGUACGGUAGAGGGUGGUGGAAUUCCCGGUGUAGCAGUGAAAUGCGUAGAGAUCGGGAGGAACAUCUGUGGCGAAGGCGGCCACCUGGACCAGUACUGACGCUGAGGCACGAAAAGCGUGGGGGAGCAAAACAGGAUUAGAUACCC